GUUGUCGCUGCUCUUGGGCAGUGGCUCAAACGGUGAUUAAUCGAAAAGUGAAUACUUCUCAAAAACGAAUGCUAAUGCCUGAUCUAAGUGUGUGUGUGU